UUUGCUGAGUUAAGCAAUGACCGAGAGAAAGGAAGUGCUCUGCCAUUUUGGACUUCAACCGAGAGCAAAACCAAGAGAGGAAACAAAUAGGAGUCGGCUGUUUCAUUUGAUAGCAGAAACCGUGAGGAGCAAAAGAGAGAAACAGAGUGUAAAGCUUUCUUCCUCCUCCAACCGCAAAACCGUGAGCAAAAGUGUGAGAUACGGAGAGAAAUCUUGUGCGUUUCAUCACCUACCAGCCUCAAACGAGACAGAGGGAUGCAAGGGAGGAGAAGGAGAGAGACUGGUGCAUUUAUCUUGAGGAACCGAAGCAGAAACCAAGGCGCAGUCUGCAAUUUCAGAGUUUGGGAGGAAAGGGAGGAGUUAGAGAUUGAAGAGUGAUUGGAUUGAACUAGAAAGUUAUUUUGGGAAGAUCCGUUAUUCUGUGUAUAUAGUGUAGGCAUGGUCAAUUUUGAAUUUGGAGAUGGUUGAAUUUUUGUUUGAGUUGGUGUGAUAUUAAGAAUGGAUAUUUAGAACAGGUAUUUUGUUUCUUUUAUUGAACAAAUUCAUGUUUCAAACUGAUUGGAGAUGUACUUAAGAGUGAAUGUUCAGUCGUCCAAUGGUAAUGUUAUCUCUGAAAUUAAUGUGA